CAAUGUUGCAAGAUUCCCGAUAGGAUUUACUAUACGCGUAAAGAUUCCUUGUAACCGACUAAUACUUUAGGGGGAAUAGAAAUG
rnacentral:sRNA from 2 species